AUUGAACGCUGGCGGCAGGCCUAACACAUGCAAGUCGGACGGUAGCACAGAGGAGCUUGCUCCUCGGGUGACGAGUGGCGGACGGGUGAGUAAUGUCUGGGGAUCUGCCCGAUAGAGGGGGAUAACCACUGGAAACGGUGGCUAAUACCGCAUAACGUCGCAAGACCAAAGAGGGGGACCUUCGGGCCUCUCACUAUCGGAUGAACCCAGAUGGGAUUAGCUAGUAGGCGGGGUAACGGCCCACCUAGGCGACGAUCCCUAGCUGGUCUGAGAGGACGGCCAGCCACACUGGAACUGAGACACGGUCCAGACUCCUACGGGAGGCAGCAGUGGGGAAUAUUGCACAAUGGGCGCAAGCCUGAUGCAGCCAUGCCGCGUGUAUGAAGAAGGCCUUCGGGUUGUAAAGUACUUUCAGCGGGGAGGAAGGCGAUAAGGUUAAUAACCUUGUCGAUUGACGUUACCCGCAGAAGAAGCACCGGCUAACUCCGUGCCAGCCGCCGCGGUAA
rnacentral:rRNA from 1 species